rnacentral:lncRNA from 1 species
CUAUGAUUUGGGGGUACACUGCUGUGGGCAAACAAUAAUGAAGGUCACUGAAUCAAUUCUGGACUUUGGGCAGAAGGCUAAGAGAUAUUAUGGUGCCCAUUGUGAAAAUAAAUUAUUUGGUUUGGGCAUAGCUGAAUACACUGUGGGACUGCACGCCAUUCAAAGAAUCUAUUCUAUUCUUUUUCCUAAGACAGAUAUGACAGCAACACUGCACCUUAGACUUGGGUGCCAAGUGGUCUGAGAUCAGAUUGUUCAGCAAAGUGCUAAGAAUUGCCAGGCUUCAAGCAGUCCAUGUAGAAAAUGUGGGAGUUCUGGUCCUGUAGGACUUGAGUUUGGGCACAGCUCUUCCCCCCGGGAGGAGAAGACCAAAACAUUCAUACAAGGCAACCUCGGGGAGCUCUGAGGCACUGAAUAUAGAAUGGCCUGGAAACUUGACUUGUUAACAACCAAUCAAAGGAGAAAUUAAUCUUUCAGUGAUAACUGGAUGAAUAUAAGAACACAGAAAAAAAGUGUCUGCCUGGCUGAGGAUGUG